AGACCUGGUUUCCAGCAACCGAUUGCAACAUGCCUGUACCGGAUUCCUUCUUCCUCUCAAGUCAAGGAGUAACUUAGAACCAUUGCCGAGACUCAUCUCCUAAGGCCCCUUUCCUUUGAGGGAAUCCCAACUGAUUGCUCUGAGAACUCAGAGAAAGGGCCAGACCCUUUGCUCUAAGUGGCCUUUCCCCCUAAAACAUCUCACAGUCACUCUUCCUCCCAAGAAAUAACAAUCAAAACCCUGCAGCCCUUAGUUAAUACCGGCUAAGACCACAGGGCUUUACCAAGACUGCAUUACCGUGCACUGGCUAACACAGAAGUCAUAGGUCCUAUUUGUCCGGACGAGAAGAGGCGUAUUUUACCAAACCAAAUGUUUGAAAGGAAAAUGCUGAUCGCUGGGACGAUUUUUUUUUCCAGAUGCAUUUUACUGUUUAAAAUUUACCUGAGGUGGAGAUUUAAAUGACUGCAUCCACUCCCAAGAUUUAUUGCAAGAGUGAUUGAUGUUAUAAACCAGGAAAGGACUCUUCCCACAGCAGGGAUGACAGAAAUAUCAAGUUGAAGUUGCCUUUGUCUGCAUGCAACGCGUAAGCCAGUGCUACAACACAGACAGCUUUGAGAGAACACCCACCAAGCCUGCUCGAUGGUCCCUGCAGAUUUCCAAACCAACCUUCCUUGGGUUGCACAGCCAUCUCUUUUCUCAGUUUCAGUAGGACCCGAAAGACAUCUGCAAAGUGGCCACAAGUCUCCUAAUGAGGUGGUGAUAAAGACUAUUGAUUGGGGCAUUGUUACAUACCAGAUUGCUAAGCUGUGGCAAUUUUUAUCUUCCUUCACCUUUGUCUUUUCCCUCUUUUGGGUGUGUGUGUGUGACAGAGACAACCACAGAAAUGCACACAUUCCUCUGAAGACUGCUGCUGUUUCUUCUGUUUUGUUUUGUUUUGUUUUGUUUUUCAGUGUUGGAAACUUAAAACUAACAGUUUCUGGAGGGGAGCAUAGCUAGUCUUUUAUCAUAACCAAGUUUUUAUGACUGCAAUUAAUUUUUCUUUAUAGCAAUGUAAGCAAUAAUUAAGUCUCUUGUU
rnacentral:lncRNA from 1 species